UACGUAGGGGGCGAGCGUUGUCCGGAAUUAUUGGGCGUAAAGAGUGUGUAGGCGGUGCUCUAAGUUCGGUGUGAAAUCUCCUGGCUUAACUGGGAGGGUGCGCCGGAAACUGGGGUGCUCGAGCGUGGGAGAGGAAAGCGGAAUUCCUGGUGUAGCGGUGAAAUGCGUAGAUAUCAGGAGGAACACCUGUGGUGUAGACAGCUUUCUGGACCAUUGCUGACGCUGAGACACGAAAGCGUGGGUAGCAAACAGG
rnacentral:rRNA from 1 species